AGUUUAGCUUAGUCCAUUUAACACCUUGAAAAAUUACAUAUAAUUAUGAACUUGCUAUCGCUCCCAUAAUAUUAGCAGCUAUAAUUAAUAUAUGGUACUACUCAAAUUCAGUUCAUAAUGAAAUAAACCAGAUAGUCCACAUAUCUUUCGCAUUGGUUGGCUCUAAUGUAAAAUUAGGCAAAUAAGGAAUAAAGGAAAAAGGAUUCUUGAAUAAUGAGAGUUUGAAAUUAUUUGUCCACGUAACGGCAUGGAAAAUUUGAUGAAAGAAUUAACUGAAUUAUUGAUAUCUUAGAAAUCUUUGUAAACAAUCAUCCUAAAAGCCUUCAUUAGUGAUCGAUAGAUUUCCUUAUUACCCGGCAAGGCGCAAAUAAUGCCCUAGUAUUUUACUAAUAUAAAGUCAUAUUCCGAUUUAUAUUAGGUGCCAUCCACCAAAAGCAAUUAACACGACACAAGUCCAACGAAAGCAGUAAUAGAGUAUGCACUAAUGGUAUAAAGAAAACACUACACAAGCGGUCUUAUCCAUCUUUGAUUAGAGGAUUUUAACUACUCACUCUCUCAUUAACAAUCAAAUCAAGAAUGGAUAAGCUUGCCUAUGAAAAAUUUAUCUACACCGGGAAUUAGGCUUAAUAGUCCAUGGGAUGCUUAGGAGUAAAUGGGAUUUUAAUUGGGCUUUAAUUACAUACUAAAAAAUUCCAAAUGAAAAGGUAGGUGCACUGGGGUAACCUAGUGAUAACGAGGGCACACUAUCUUUUAUGAGAUCACAAGUUCGAGUUAUCUCAUGAGUAAUUCUCUAGUAUAUGCUUUGUGUAUUUCUUACGUUAUGUGGAGAGAUUUUUUGCUUAUGGCAUAUUGAUGACGGGCUCGUACCUUUAUAAGUGGAUUAAGUUGUAAGGAUUUAUAUCAAAUAUUUCGUAACGGCGUGAGAUCCCGUAUAGGAAGGUAUACGCUGAUCGUCUGUUCCUUUCUUUCGUUUAUGAAAGAAAAAUAAGGAUAAGACAAAAACGAGAGUACCAAUAUAAGCAUCCUUGAUUGGGUUCGCAAACCCACGAAUAUAUUUUUGCCUCUCUAGAAGAUAAAGUAAUUAACUUGAGGGCGGGAAAACAAAUGUAAACUUAAAAAGAAGAGAAUUCAACCGCCUUAAGCCUGUGAUGGUUCUUAGGUUGCCCCAGUUUGGGAAGUAAAUGUUGACACCUUAAGCCCUCAAACAUUAAAAGAAGAUAUUUCAACCACCUUGACAUCUUGUCCAAUUAACCAAAAUGUUGGCUUAAAUCCGAUUGCUUGCAACGGCAUGAAAACUUUAUAUUUAUACUAAAAACAUAUUCGCGUGCUCUAGCAUGCGAUGUAUACACCGGUAUAAUUUAGUCAUCAUUAAGUUUUAUAAAUUUUAUUAUUUUCCUCCUAAAAUCAUAUUUCUUGGGAUUAAUACUAUUAAAAAUCUCAAACUAGUAUUUCCAUAGACAUGCAUACUUAUUAACAUAUGUCAAAUAUGUCAUCAUCUACUUCCGUAGACAUGCAUGCAUUUUAUUGAGAUAUUAGACGAAAUGUCAAUGAAGAGUGGAUUUAGAUUAGAGUAUCAAUUGGGUACUCGUUUGGAAAUUUGUUGUGGUAUUAACCCUAUUUAUAGAGCCAUUGGGUAGUGAAUAUUUCAAGAAGCCCUAAUGAUCUAUCUUUGCCCAAUAUCUACAUCGCAACAACCAUAUUUCAAUUAAUUGUUGGUUUGGAGGAUCAAGCUUUACCAAUCAAAAUUUUCAUAAUUCUAUGGUCUUUGGUAUAGGAAACUUAAAUUAUUAAAGAAAAGAAAAGGAUUUUAUUAAACAAUGACUUAGGG
rnacentral:lncRNA from 1 species